AAAACACGCCGCACUUGCCUCUUAAUUUUAAUAAUAAAUAUCUGUAUUAACAGAUUGUGUUUUACUUACGCGUUCAAAACUACAGUUUCUCGCCAUCUGAGAGAGAAGAACCGAAACAGAAUUUAAGGUAAAACCGGAAGUUUGGAGAAGUGAACACUCUCACUUCGAACCGAUCUCCGUUCUUCUCUCCGCCUGUUUGUAAACAUGCGUCAAAACCACGUGAUCCUGUUGACGCCUUUAGGAGCGAUGUCCAAUCGGGAAACGGGGGUGUGUGGGGGUGGGCGUGGCUCAUUUGUGUUGCUGUGAAAAUGUCGAUGGUCAAGCUUUAUAAUCAGUGCAGGGGGGGACCCACUCUGGCUUUGGUAAUAACUGGUUAAUAGGAGCUAACAGCAGGUUAUGAAGUAGCAAUAGUAAAAAGACCGGACGUGUUGCGAAAGAGGCGCUGCUGGUAAGUCAUUUCCCCCUCAGAGAGCAGCUGUUUAUUUACUUCCAGUGGCUGCUCCGGUGAAUCAUAUACAUGGAUAUAGGUUACAGUGUGCGGCAGGCCGGUUUGGUAACGCUUAGUAACGUGUUACAUUAUAUUUUCUUGUUUGACGUUUCUAUGAUGUUGCAGUUUUGGAUGCUUUAAUUUGAUUAAAAUAUUUCACUGUUAUAAACUUGUUAAAAGGUAUGCUCUUAUGACCGGCCAAUAAGAAUUAGCACACGCCCGUGGUUUGAUUGUUACGAUGUAGUGCGCAAUGACCAGCGUUACCCGGAAAUAAGCAAGGUAUUUGCUCUCAGCUGUUUCCUUAUAAAAGAUGUCUGUGCGUGUCUGGUGCUCAUUCUCAUCUCCGGAGCCAGUGAGGGGCAGGGUGGAUGGAGGGAUGUGCUGGAUGCUUGCUGCAGGAGGAUGUUGCGCACUUCCAUUUACCUCAGAAGUGCAGAAGACGUGCCGAGGAUAAUGGUGCCCAGAAUACCAGCCUGAUGUCCCGAGGGAGAGCCUUUUCUUCUCAGUGGUACCGCAAGCCAGGUGAAGCUGUGGGCUCCGUAUCCCGUGGAGUUCCCGUGGGGAAUUAGGACAUCACGAACUACAAGUGCUUUAGGCAAGAAAAUUUACAGCCACAUGAAAUUCCAGAUGAAAAUCUAGCCUUGUAGUUGGAGGAUAAUGGAAAAUAGACAACAUCAGAAUACAGGUUUGAGCUUUAAUAGCUCAAUCAAGCUUUUGAAAUACCUGAUGUAAAACUACGGAGUGUGUGAGGUCAGUGAGGACUCUGCACUGCAGCACAGAAAAUAUUCUCCGAGUGCGGUUUAGGCAGCUGCAGUUCCAACACUUCACUUCUAGCUAACGGUUGUGAUUUUUGGAAUAAACAUUGUCCCGCAUAGAUGUGCUCUUUCAAGUUUUUAAAAACAAUGAAUCAUUUAUGAAGGCAUUUGUUCAAUGUGCACAUUGUUAUACGUCUUUAUAAUAAAAAGGCGUAGCGGUUAGUUGAGAAAGACACAAACUUUGCUAACCUUUUGUUAACCGAGACAAAGCUUUUAUUUUAGCUUAGCAAAUAAAGGGGACUUUAUGCAUCACAAAUGCAGACAGACCUAAUAGGCACAGCCUUGUUGAGAACAGACGAGCUCAUAAAAGAGACAGAACCGAGUUUGUUCCUCUUGCUGUGCUGAUGAACACGGUUUGCAGCGUCGUAGCCAGAGAUACACAAACACGAGUAGGCUAAUUUGACAUAUUUAAGACCUUCGACUCAAAGAUUUUCAGAAAGUAUCUUCCAUUGGACCUGCCCUUCCCCAGAUGGAUGCUAGUAGUGAAAAUUCAUUCAUGUUAUUAUUCCUCAUUUUAAAUUCAUUCAUCCUAGGUUGUACUCAGUAAUGAUUGCAUAUGACAAAUAAAGAGUCUUUUUCAAAUGAGAUUGUUUCAGUGACAGGAUUAUUUUUGAGGUUUUGCACUCUAAAAAAAAUGUUUUCUGCCUUUAUCUUCCCACAGCUCCAUCGGCUCAUUUACACGACAAACGAAGACUCAUCUGAUCAAGGUUUCCCCAGGGUGCUUCGCGGUUCCUUCCUGAUCCUGUCGUUGACCGCUCUCCGAAGGCCUCCUGUCCCUUUAAAUCUUUUAUAGGCAUUACACAACAGGUCCAGUGGCACACAAGCAACAAACAACCCGAAAAAGAAAACUGACAGGGUUGGGUUGAGCCAGCCAGGAGAAGGAACCAGACACCUACGGACAGACAGGCCCUCUGAUCAGAGUCGUCACUGUGGCUUCAGUGUCAACACACACACACACACAAAAACAGCCCCAGCAAAGAAAAAAAAAAAUACCUAAGAUAAUAAAAAAAUACUUAAAUCUGGCCCAUCUGAGGCCUGAUAAGGACUUGUAAAGGCUGUGGGGAUUACUGUGAAAAUCAGAGUGAAUUGCGUCUGAUGUUUGAUGUUGAGACAUGAAGACAUUACAGCAGACUGUGUGUGGGUGUGUGUUGUUGAGGGACAGGGGAGUUUGAGGCUAGACAGUGAAUUAGCAGUAGUGCUUUCACCUGCCUGCAAAGACUAAAACCAGCAGGGCGGGGGGGGGUUAUUGCCACGAUUGGUUAGUUUUGUACUUUGUUGAAGCACUUGGCAACAAGUUAGUGAACUGGCCACUACCUGUCCUCGCCCCACCCUCUCAGUGUAUUGUGCCUGUGUGUCUGCGCCAUGGCUCUCAUUGCCAGCGAUUGACUGCCACUUCCUUGCUUUUUCCCCAUAGUAACUGGAGAGCAACGGGCUACCGUCCUCGCAAUUCUGCCGAGUAACAGAGGAAUCACCGAGGUGCGUGCGCAUAGAGGUGCAGAUUUGUACAGUGUUACACCACCAAAGCGUGCCUUUUACCUGAAGUGUCCCCCCUUGGAAGCUGGUUUCAGAUGGUGGCUUAGAGUAUUGUCAUCUAUCUAGCACCAUUUGAAAUCAGUGUUCUUGGGGCGGGAAGUUUCUUCCAUUGACCAGCAACAAGCAGCUAGGAGGUGUCACGAGCUGUCCAGAGAGAGCAUCACUCCCUCUCCCUCGCUGAGCAGAACCCACCAGUCUACAGCGAUGUUUUGACAGCUCAAGCUCUUUGUCCUCAAUCCAAGGUUGACCGAUUUCUUUUGGUGUUCAGAGUCUGCUUUUGUUUCUAGCACCAUUUGAAAUCGGUUACAAUGAAGGACAGAUCUCAUCUUACCUUGAAGAGGAUUUGCAACUAAGCUGUGCUCUUUAUUUUACUGGCUGUGGAUCAACUGUCAUGAAAUUUUGUCUUAUCUCCAACCCAGAUCUCUCAUUGGUAUCUGGAUUGAUGUUUGUUUAUGCCCAGACACACCAUUACGGUUGCAGUUUAGAUACACUAUAGAUACUUUAUUGAUCCCAAGGGAAAUUCAAGAUAUAAGAUACAUAAGCACUCAGGUCUACAUUGUCUGUUUUUAUUUCAUCAAUUGAUUACAAAAGGGUAGUGCCAGUGUAGAAGCAGUUUUAACUGACCUCCAAACAAUGUAAAUAUUUUAAUGAGAUGUUUUGAUACAAAUUUUAGAUCAAUAAAUAAAGAAAAAAAAAAACAACCAAGUACAAAAUCUUCAGAGAUCACAGUCUAUACACCUUUAUGUAACAACAGACACAGUAGUACUGUAACACUUGAAGUGUUCCUCCUCCUCCUCUGGUGUAAAACUAAAAGUGACACUCUGGGAAAGAAACAUUAGAAAGCAAAUAAUUUGCAGGAAGAAAAAAAAAAACAAACCUUUCUUUGAUAAGAAAGAAAAACAAUGUGUCAUCGUUGAACACUUUAAGCUAAUGAUAUAGCAUGAACACAUAGCUAAGGUGGGCCCGCAAUCAAGCUUCCAUUAACUAACCCCAACAAACGGGGUUAAAUAGUAUGCAAUUCACAGGCAAACACAUAUGUGACACACACAACAAGCCAACAUAUUUGGCUUUCUGCAUUAAGGCAUAUGGAACAAGCCUUUUUCUCAGGCACUGUGCAGAAGACCUGACAGUCAAUCUUUAGAAUGGAGGACUGGUUUACUGGUUGCAGGAGCCAGUUGUAUUUAAGGUGAACUAUGAAAACAUUCUUUAUUUGAUUCUUGAUUCUGAUUAUUUUAAGCUAUCUGUGUAAUUAAGUUACAUUGGUCAAGUUGAGCGGUGCUCUGAACUCUAGUGCAAGUUUAAAAUCAAUGUAAAGCCUCUCUGAUGAACAUGAACUCUCAUUCCUCCUUAAUUACUGUAUAGACAGUGUUGCAUUAUUGUAAAGGAAACACAUCCCAAAUACUGCUGAUUUAACUGAAUUGUGCAGAAUGUAAUGAGUGGCUUGUCAAAGGUGGAAAUUAUCGUCAUCCAAUUGGAGGGACCACUUACUGCAUAAGCUAAGGAAUGAGCUCAAUCUUCUGAGGUUUUGGAAUCCCACAUUGAUGUUAAGAAACGUUUUCAGGAGGCUUCCCGAGUCCGUGCUGUUCGCAUGCGUGGCACAUUUACAUUCGUCGACCAGGGCAGCGGCAUCCCUCUUCUCAUCCAGACGUUUUCACACGAAGUAAAGUUGCGCCAAUGUGACUGCCACACUUACUACAGAGACAAUAAAAGCAGCAAAGGAAAAUAAUUAAACAUUUUUAGACAAUACAAAAAUCUGUACUGCGCUGUGGAAGAGAAAAAAAAAAAGGAUAAGGAUAUUAAAGGUCCAGUGUGUAGGAUUUAGAGGAUCUAUUGGCAGAUAUUCAAUAUAAAAUUCCUAAUUAUCUAUUCAUAUAAUCACCUGAGACAAAGAACUGUUGUGUUUUCACCAUUUUGAACCACCACUUUUCAACGGUAGCCCAGAAUGGGGAAAUCAAACUUUAGCUCUUAGGAGGGCACUUUGUGACUUUUUCUUCUUUUUUGCAAUUCUUAUGGUCACUGUUGUAUCGUCUACACUCAUGGAAAAGAAAAGCAAGGCGAGGGGUAUUCAGAUGGCUGCAAUCCGCAACUAAAUCCUACACACUGGACCUUUGAGAGCCGAGUAGCAGUUGUCCGACAGGUUAUUUAGUAGCCUGGAAUAAUAUGGAAGAAGGAAGAAAAUCCAUCUUGAACAUUAAUACAUCAUGCAGAUUCUGUAUGAAAUGAUAAUGGAUGGGUGGAGAGAUGGAGGGAUUCUUGCAUGUUAUCUCUUUAUCUGGCAUAACUGAUUUCAAGUGUGCUUAGUGGUCCAUCUUCUUACCGCAAGAGCUACUUCCUCUUCAGGUUUUGUAGCCUUUAAGUCAGGUUGGUCUUUUCCAGAGCUGUAAUCCAAUAUUUACUGGUGAACAUUACGGUUUAUGUAUGACCAGGUAGCCAAAGAGCAAGGAGAGCUUAAGGAAGACCACACAUACACCACCUUUACCCAUAAAUCUACACACCACCCAUCAACCAAGACUGACUUAUACACACACACACCAGGCCUGUCUUCAUCUGUUUCAAACAGCCAAAUUACCCUAAUGUGUGUGUGUGUAUUUGUCACUUUGAUUUGCAAAAUACUACCGGUUCAUUUCUUUAGAACAGGAAUCAACAGGUCACUACAGCAUCAACAAAGACACGCAGGGCUGUCACUGCACGUGGAGCUUCUUGUUACACUGCUGUUUUGCACUAAUGUUACGAGGCCUGGUGUUUCAAAAUUUUAAAUAAUAUUGUGAAAAACAACAAACAACAACCACAUGGUGAGUGCUCUUCACAUUUUCAGGUAUAAUUAAAAUGUGAUGAACACACACCCCUUAAGCAGAAAGAAAUACACAACUAUACCACCAAAUGCUCUGUUGUCAUAUUUAAUUUUGCUUCACUUAUCCAUUUAUAAUCAUAAGGAUGACCAGCUGUUCACGGCAGACAUUACGGGGCUUAAAGGCAAAUUCAGUUGCCUUUAAGGACCCAAGUGGUGAAAAUUUGACACGCAUUUAAGUUUAAUUUUAUAUAAGAGGUGAUGUGACUGCGUUUUUAAGACACUCUCCUAUACAGUCAGUUAUGCAUUACACGCAACUCUACCCCAAGAGGAAACAAAAGAUGUUUCCUGAUAAACAUUUCCAAAAAAAUGGACCACAGAAGCAACCACAACUUCCUAUUUUGCAGAAGGGGGGAAAAAAUGAUGUAAAAAUCUAAAAAUGUAAUCAACCACAAUUUCAAGCUGACUGAACUGAGCACUGUUUAGAUUGGCUGUAAAAUCAUUUCAAAGACAUCAUCUACCAAACCUGAACAUUUCUAGUCACUAAUCUAAAUGUUAUUUGCAAUAAUGAGAAUGUUGCCAGUAGGUCUCAACCUUUUGUCUCUCCCUUGAGACUAUAUGUAUCACAAGCGUGAAUGAAUACAGCAUGUGACAUCUACAACAACAGAAUAGCAGAUGAUAAACACAGCCAAAUCUU